UACGUAGGGGGCGAGCGUUGUCCGAAGUUACUGGGCGUAAAGCGCGCGUAGGCGGUUUCUUAAGUCUGGUGUGAAAGGUUCAGGGCUCAACCCGAACAGUGCACUGGAUACUGGGAGACUUGAGUAUGGGGAGAGGAGAGCGGAAUUCCUGGUGUAGCGGUGAAAUGCGUAGAUAUCAGGAGGAACACCGAUGGCGAAGGCAGCUCUCUGGCCUGUAAACUGACGCU
rnacentral:rRNA from 1 species